rnacentral:rRNA from 1 species
GACGAACGCUGGCGGCGCGCCUUACGCAUGCAAGUCGAACGGCAAGGGCGGGGCUUGGUGCGGUCCUCGAGUGGCGAACGGGUGAGUAACACGUGAGUAACCUACCCUUGACUUUGGGAUAGCUGCAGGAAACUGGGGCUAAUACCGAAUACACGCUCCUUCUCCAUGGUGGGGGUGAGAAAGUUACGCUGCGGCUGCGCUGAAGGACGGGCUUGCGUCCUAUUAGGUAGUUGGUGAGGUACAGGGCCAUCAAGGCGACGAUGGGUAUCCGGCCUGAGAGGGUGAACGGACACAUUGGGACUGAGAUACGGCCCAAACUACUACGGGAGGCAGCAGCUAAGAAUAUUACGCAAUGGACGGAAGUCUGACGGAGCGACGCCGCGUGGAUGAAGAAGGCUGAAAAGUUGUAAAAUCCUUUUGUUGAUGAAGAAUAAGGGUGAGAGGGAAUGCUCAUCUGAUGACGGUAAUCGACGAAUAAGCCCCGGCUAAUUACGUG